rnacentral:rRNA from 1 species
AACGUAGGAGACGAACGUUAUCCGGAGUUACUGGGCGUAAAGGGCGUGUAGGCGGUCUGUUAAGUCUGGCGUGAAAAGCUCUCGGCUAAACCGGGAGAGGUCGUUGGAUACUGGCAAGACUAGAGGAUGGUAGAGGCGUGUGGAAUUCCGGGUGUAGUGGUGAAAUGCGUAGAGAUCCGGAGGAACACCAGUGGCGAAGGCGGGUCUCUGGGCCGAUACUGACGCUGAGGAGCGAAAGCGUGGGGAGCGAACAGG